rnacentral:rRNA from 1 species
AUACCCUAUUAUUUUAAGCUAUAUAUUGGUAGUAAUUAAUAAUUUAUGAAAUCAUAAGAUUUUGGCGGUAUUUUAAGCUUAUUAGAGGAAUUUGCUYUGUGAUGGAUACAACGCCUCGAUCUUACUUAAUUUGGUUUUAAAAGUCAGUUUGUAUACCACUAUAUUUAAUUAUAUUGAAUAAUUAUAUUUAAGAUUUUUAUAAAAAAAAUAUAUUAAGUCAAGGUGCAAUUAAUAAUUAUGAAUGAAGUGAAUUACAUUAAUUUUAAUUUUAUUAAAAUAUUGAAAAAAAAAAUUUUUAGGAUUUAAUAGUAAAAUG